rnacentral:lncRNA from 1 species
CUGGGUUGUUGUCUAUUGCUACUGACAUACUUGGAGCAUUUGGGGUCACCUCCAAUGUGUUUAUCCCUAGGCUGCCUUCAACAGGGCCAGGAGAUUUCUGUAAAUAUUUAUCUAUCCCUGUUCCCAGCUUUCAGGGCUGAUUAAAGCCCUGUCUGCAACUUAGUGGGACAAAGCUGCCUACCUUCCUAAAACCAGCAGAGAGGUGAGAAGAUGGCCCAUUAGGCAGAAGCAAAAAGAAGACAAUCCUGCCUGUCAAGUGGCUGUGUGCCGUAGGCAGGUUGCUUGGCCUCUGGGACCCUCAGAUGGGUCUGAUGUUUCAGAGAAUGGCCUGAUAUGCUUUCCUGUCUUCCUCACAGUGUAACACAGUGCUCUCUUCUCGAAAUCACCUCUUACUAACAGCAGAAAACAUAGCUGUGCUUAAUUAAACCAAUUAGAAAGCAAACUGGGGUCAAACUGGUUUCCUAGUCUGGGGUCCUCCCUUAUCUCCCCUCCACCAUUUUGUGGAUUAGAAGUUGACCAGGCACUGUCCUUGAGUCUCUAAGCUCCACCAGAAGACUGGGUCAGCCAAGAAAUUCCUUGAGUGUGUCUGAGGCUGUGGGUUGGUGGCUGUUAGAACAGAGAAGGGUGGGGCAGAGUGAGCCAAGCACCUAGCACAGGGAAGCCCAAAGGAGCUAAGAAUGAGGGAAUGCACUAGAAGCAGAAAUUUCUCAGGUAUGUGGGUUUGGGAGAUAAGCCAAGAGCUGGGGGUAGGAGUUGGAAGUACUGGAAGGGAGAAGACAUGAGUCCCGGUCUGAGACCAGCUCUUGCCUGACUUGCUUUGUGACUCUGAAAAAAAAAGACCUUGACCUCUCUGGGCUCUGUUUCAUCUUCCAAGAAAAGAGGUAAGGGCUGGUCCCCAAACUCCCCAAGGCUGUAGAUAAGGCUGCAAGUGGUCUGUGCCAACUAAUAAUACACCUUAUGCUGGAUCACAAUAGUCCUGGGAGGACAGAGAAUUUGGGGAGAACAAAUUCCCAAGUAUGGGAGGGAAGGGCCUCAGAGGCAGAGAAUGGGGCCAGAUGCUGCAGUGGAUAUUACAGAAGGAUGUCACUUAGCUCUUUGGUGCCAUCCCCCAUUUGAGGGAUGGGGAAGGCUAAAAGAAGACAGUGACUGUUUAGGGUUGUCUGACCAUGGUCUUGGUUCCUCAUGAGAGAAGGAGUGGAAGGGACAGGGUAUAUGGGGUAUAUAUAUCAAUUAUUGUCCCUCUCUUCAUGACUAGCUAUACCAGGCUUCACUGGGCAGCAGAGGAGAGAGAUUUCUAGCAUAAACUGAGCUGACAGGCUGAACUCUCAGGUUGUUAGAGGUUCUCAGGGAGGGCCGCCAUACCCUGCUAGGGUUGACAGAAAGAAUCUGUUUCUCCCCUAGAUAGGCCAAAUAGGAGCAGGUCCUUGCAGCUAGUCACACAGACUGGGGUCCACAUUUUCAGGGUGAGACCUUGGAUUUGGAUUCAUGCCCAUCUUAGAGUAGAGUGGAAGAUUCAAUGAGUAGAAGAUUCAAUGAGCCCAUAUGCAGAGUGCCUGGGAAAUAGCAAGUACUUAAUAAUUUUCCAUUUUUCUGUUACUAGGUGAGGCCAGCCAGGGUUCCUCCUCCAGGGGACAGAUGAUUCAACCCUCAAGAACAAAGCAGACAGUAAGGGAGGGGGGCCGAUUGAGAGCACAGAAGGUCCACUCCCUGCCAGCUAUUAUCUGAGCAAGCUGC